GGACACACACACACACACACAUAUGCAUGUAUAUAUAUUGUUUAAUAUGCUCUAAGUGACGGAAUAAAUGGAAAAAUUUUAAUAUUAAAAAGAAUAGAAAAGAAGCAUGCUUCUUGACAACAUUUCAAGCACUAUAAUAAGUUGUCCAUCCAAAUGAAUUAUUUAAAUUUCAGAUCAUAAAUACAUAUUAAAAAGCAUAGUAAACUUAAAGCAGAAUUGAGUCAUUGACAACCCUGUAUUAUUGCCUACACCUUAAGCAGCUAACAACUGACAGGCAAUACGCAUAGCCUAGUGGUAACCACGUUAAUACUUAAAAAAGGAGAUAUCUGGUACUAAUUCCCUGUUCGCCUAACUGUAGUCAAAAUCUAAGCUAUUCAAUCAUGGAUAUUUAACUAGCAAGAAAAAAAUACUGAGACACUAAACCUACUGGUAGUUUUGAUGGAAAGCAACCCAUCUGCAGCAGAAGGAAGUCAAAUAAUCAUGAAACAUAAAUAUUUAUAAAGAUUUUUGUAUCUAGAAUCAAAUGAGCUCACCAUCAUCAUCAUCCACUUACCCCAAUUUUCCGUUCCAAUACCUUCUCUGUUGCACUUAACGUCUUGAAACUCCUCCAAGCAACUACCGG
rnacentral:lncRNA from 1 species